UUAGCAACGUCGCCCAUCUAAUGGCAUGCAUAUGACGUUUCACAUCACUAAGUCGGUGAGCGGGAAUAAUAGCAGCACAGCAUUCUUUUGUCACGGCUGUAUCAAGCCGCAGCUGUAGAGGACAACGAGGUAACUCUAUCUGGAAAAAACGGAAUGAUGGCUGUACCCUUUCCCCAGAGAGCGGCAAAGGAUAUGGCCUAGCACAGAGAAGCUGUAAGGUUCCUCUUCAAUGGCGCUCUCCCCCACUCUGAACUGUCUAUGACCAGCCUGACCGUGUGAGGAUGCCAGGCUCAAUCUGAGAGUAAUGGUGGUGGUGGUGUGUGUGGGGGGUCUCGCUUGUUCCAAUGGAUCAUCGUGCUCCAGCUCCCUGGAUGAGGCGAGAAAUAAUUUGUAGGGACAGGCAGAGUCUCAAAGAAGACAAUGAUUCAACUGGAUGGCCAGCGUCCCAAACAGAUGAAAUUUAACUCGUUGGGAAACAUCACGACUCUUCUAAAGAGAUGAAAACCCGCAAGAAAUCAUCUCACGGGCCCAAUUCAUUAGCUAAUUGCAUUGCUGAAAAUUCAACACACAGUCACCUCUGUCUUAACUACCUGUGAUCAUUUGUAGCCAGCAGGAUCCAAAGACGCAUACACUGUUGAAGACAGAGCAAAAGAGGUCGGGCAACUGUUAAACAAGCUAAUUAACAUAAACUCUAAUAGACCAGAAGGAUGUGCGGGGAGACGGGGAUUAACACUUUAAACCAUUAAAGCCCUCUGUCAUUAGUGCUCACUGCUUCGCGCUCUACCGUGCUGGGGAUUAUGCUCCUUUGGGCUAAAGCUAAGUAUAGUAGAGUGAUGGAUGGAUGGAUCGACAACGAGAACAACGCAUCAUCAUCACAGUCAUCUACAAUCCACAUAAAAGCAAUAAGUGUGCUGACGCUAAGCAUGAGCUGCUUUUGCCUCCAGCCAGGUCAAAAUGCAAGAACUAUUUUUGUUUUGAUUGGAUAUUUGUUUGAUUGGAUUACUCAGAUUACAACAGAUUUACAUUAAACCUAAUGGCAUAGAAUGUAAAAGGUGUCAGUCACUGUAAGAGAUACUAAGUCCCUGUUUGUCAGUUAGUGCAAUCAUCUCCCUAAAACAAAUAAAUGCCUCCCUCAAAUAAUUGAAAGAUGUAGUUGUUUUCACAUACAAACAUCAAACAAUGGACAGCGAAACCCACUUGACUAGUCUUGCUAAUUUUCUACUAACCAACAGUGGCACUAAAUAUAUAUAAACAAUCUGUCAAAUUCACUCAGUUGAGUCACAAUAAAACAUGAAACACUCCCCUGCCACUGAAUCAAAUGGUAUGGUCCCAUCAUUUUAUGUCAUAUUUAAUAAACCAGAAAGUGCAUGAUAAUACAUGGACAAAAACAAUGAAAAAUUGCUCCUUUAUUUUCUUAUUUUUACAUUUGUGAACCUUGGUAAAGGUCUGACAAAAAGUCCCUUUUUUUGGGGCAGAAUAUCCAUGGGUUGCUUAAGAGUAAAAAAAUAGUGAAAAUUCAGAUAUGGGACCUUUCAGUUGACCUCAAGUUCCGACAGCUAGCCCUCUUACACAGUCACCGGUGAUGAAAUAGUUAUAUUGGUACAAUUCCUAUUCCCAUUUGGGGGUAUAUAUUUCAUCCUCAGGUCUGAAUAAACUUAAGCCAAUGUUUGAGGAGUUUAUUGAAGACUGCUGCCAAUUCAAGGAAUACCAAAACAAUUUGGGUAGGCUGCAGCAAUAAAUGGAAAGAAACAUACUUCAAAAUUUAAUCGAGCAUGGCCACAAACAUAAACGUGAUUGAAAAGAAAGUCGUCAGCAUUUUCUAACAGAAAACAACCAGAAUCAUUAUUGAGUCAUACCCUUAAAUAAUGUGCAACUGUACAGUAUCAUAAUAGAGUUUGUGUUUUAAUAAAUGUGAAAACAUUAGUGUUUGUCAUGGAGAGAUCUCUCUUGGGUUCACAGCAAGCGUAAAAACACACACACACAUGCACGGACGCACGCACGCAUGCAUGCACACGUAGUUGUUCAAUUCCACUUCACCUCCCAUGAUAAUUCUAAGCCUCACUUAAUAUAAUUGAGGGUCUCCAGGUGUUUUAACUGUGCAGUAUGCUCAUUUAGUGUGACUCACUGGGAUAUUACAAAUUAUCCUUAAACAGUCACAUGUCUGCUAAGGUUUCCUUUUUCCAAUAUGCUGUCAAUUUGUGUGUGGUUUUUAUUUUAACUUGAUCCUGUUAUCAUUCUCUGCAACUAUUCUGAUGUUUAUUUGGACGAAACUGCAUUAAAGGAUACACACAAGGCCAAAAUAAAGUUGCUCACUUGACUCACACAUGACUGAGCCGCCCUCAAAAAAGUAUAUAUUAUAUUUGGCUUGUAACAUUUAGCUAAAAUGCUAGCUCACUUUUCAUGAAUAACUACAAAGAAAACAAUGUUGGGAAAGGUCAAAUUGAUCUCAGCAAAAAAUAUAGUAGUCUGUCCGUCCAUUAAGAGAGACACAUUGUGUAACUCUGGGGUCACCAACCUUUUUGAAGUCGAGACAUCUUUCUUGGAAAACGAUUAAUGCAUAGGCCUACCAGUUUGACACACUUCUAAAAUUUGCUGAAAUUUUCUAAGUCAUAGAUGAUCAUUAUUGCUCUUUGUAAUUCCCAGCAUUAUUUUCAUUUCUGUUAUUGAUUUUUCACAUUAUUUAGAAAAUUAAUAAAUAUUAAUAAUGUGAAUGAUUUAAUUUCUGCAAAUCUCUGCCAGUGUUUAGAUUGUCAAAUAUGACUUAUACAAUCAUGCAAUAAAGUCAUAAUGUCCAAUCACCGGUGUUUGGUCCUGAAGGGCACCACAUUGGUGAUGUCUGGUGUAACCUGUUUUGUAUUUGUAUAA